AACGAACGCUGGCGGCAGGCUUAACACAUGCAAGUCGAGCGCCCCGCAAGGGGAGCGGCAGACGGGUGAGUAACGCGUGGGAAUCUACCCAUCUCUACGGAAUAACGCAUGGAAACGUGUGCUAAUACCGUAUACGUCCUUCGGGAGAAAGAUUUAUCGGAGAUGGAUGAGCCUGCGUUGGAUUAGCUAGUUGGUGGGGUAAAGGCCUACCAAGGCGACGAUCCAUAGCUGGUCUGAGAGGAUGAUCAGCCACACUGGGACUGAGACACGGCCCAGACUCCUACGGGAGGCAGCAGUGAGGAAUAUUGGACAAUGGGCGCAAGCCUGAUCCAGCCAUGCCGCGUGAGUGAUGAAGGCCCUAGGGUUGUAAAGCUCUUUCACCGGUGAAGAUAAUGACGGUAACCGGAGAAGAAGCCCCGGCUAACUUCGUGCCAGCAGCCGCCGUAACAC
rnacentral:rRNA from 1 species